GGGGAGGGUAACCGUUGGUCGCACCAACUUCUCCCUACCGGACUCAGUGGAGGGCUGGGCCCGCCCCCUGGUGCAGCUUCGGGACAGCCACGGCCUUUCAGAUAGUCAUCCUUCAUUGGACCCCCGCCUUCACCUGAUCAGCCUGACUUACCUGUUGCAGAAGAAGCUGAGUCAAUGAGUCUAGACCAAGAGCUACUUCAGCCCAGCCACCAACUAGAGCCUGAUGCUUCACCUGCCUAGAUCUCAAGGAUGCCUUCUUCUGCCUUCACCUGGCCCCACAAAGCCACCCUGUAUUUGCCUUUGAACGAGAAGAUCCCAAUACAGGUUGGAAGACCCAGUUGACUUAGACAAGGUUUCCCCAGGGCUUCAAAAACUCUCCUUGUCUGGAGAGGCCCUAGCUGCAGAUCUGGCCACUUUCCCAAGAGAAAAAGUGAAUUGCAUUUUACUGCAGUAUGUAGAUGACCUCUUACUGGCAAGUGAGGAAGGGCACUGUUGGAAGAGGCACAAGAACCCUUUUACAGUUGCUAAUGGACACAGAAUACAAGGUGUUACAGUUUGUGUGUGGAUGUCCCCCAAAGCCUCAUGCAGUCAUGGGGGUGGGUGGGUUUUUUGGAGGUGGCUGAAUCUAGAGUUGGUGAUGGGUUCACUGUCUAGUACUGGGAUUGGGGGUGUGAGUGCUAUACACACCAUAGUGCAGGUAUACACACCAUAGCCUGCAUAAUAUAAGGGGGGAAAGAGGCUUGCAUCUCCCUUUUGCUGUCUGCUGCUGCCAUGAACUGUUGUUUUGUUGCUUUUGCUGUCUGCUGCUGCCAUGAACUGUUGCCCCUCUGCCAUGCCACUCUGCCUUGGAACCAACUGAUGUGGACUGUAACCUCUGCAAACUGAAAGCUAAAUAAACCUUUUCUCCUUUAA